rnacentral:rRNA from 1 species
GACGAACGCUGGCGGCCUGUCUAACACAUGCAAGUCGAACGAAGCUUGAAGAUUGAUUCUCCUGAUGAAAUCUGAUAUGACUGAGUGGCGGACGGGUGAGUAACGCGUGAGCAACCUGCCCUUCGGAGGGGGAUAGUGUCUGGAAACGGACAGUAAUACCGCAUAACGUAUUUUUACCGCAUGAUAGAAAUACCAAAACUGAGGUGCCGAAGGAUGGGCUCGCGUUGGAUUAGAUAGUUGGUGGGGUAACGGCCUACCAAGUCGACGAUCCAUAGCCGGACUGAGAGGUUGAACGGCCACAUUGGGACUGAGACACGGCCCAGACUCCUACGGGAGGCAGCAGUGGGGAAUAUUGCACAAUGGGGGAAACCCUGAUGCAGCAACGCCGCGUGAAGGAAGACGGUUUUCGGAUUGUAAACUUCUGUUCUUAGUGAAGAAGAAUGACGGUAGCUAAGGAGCAAGCCACGGCUAACUACGUGCCAGCAGCCGCGGUAAUACGUAGGUGGCAAGCGUUGUCCGGAAUUACUGGGUGUAAAGGGAGCGCAGGCGGGAGACCAAGUCAGCUGUGAAAACUACGGGCUUAACCUGUAGACUGCAGUUGAAACUGGUUUUCUUGAGUGAAGUAGAGGUUGGCGGAAUUCCGAGUGUAGUGGUGAAAUGCGUAGAUAUUCGCAGGAACACCGGUGGCGAAUGCGGCCAACUGGGCUUUAACUGACGCUGAGGCUCGAAAGUGUGGGGAGCAAACAGGAUUUAGAACCCCUGUUAACCAAGGCCGGAAUUCUUUGAACCCUUUCCGGCACUAGCCCCUUUAAGUUAGGGUUCUAUUUCCUGAAG